rnacentral:lncRNA from 1 species
ACCAAUAUAAUAAACUACCAUAUAACCUGGCAUUUAGUAAGAUUAAUAUGUAAUUGAGUAAACUGUAGAGUUUUAUGAAUAUCCAAGACCAUUUGAAAAAGUUACAGAAAUUUUUAAAGUUGACUAUCAUAUAAAUUUAUUCCGACAUGAAAAAUUCCAGUUUAUUUUACCUAUCAAUUAAAUCUUUACAGUUGACACCAAUAUAACAAACUACUAUAUACCCAGGUAUUUAGUAAGAUUAAUAUGUAACCUAGUUCACUGUAGAGUUUUAAGAAUAUCCAAGUUCAUUUGAAAAAGUUACAGAGCCUUUUAAAGUUGACUAU